rnacentral:SRP_RNA from 1 species
GCCAGGUGUGGUGGUGCACAUUUGUAGUCCCAGCUACUCAGGAGGCUGAGGUGGGAGGAUUGCUUGAGCCCAGGAGUUCAAGGCUGCAGUGAGUCAUGAUCGUGCUACUGCACUCUAGCCUGGGUGACUGAGCAAGAUUCUGUCUCUA